AUUGAACGCUGGCGGCAUGCCUUACACAUGCAAGUCGAACGGUAACGGGCCUUCGGGUGCCGACGAGUGGCGAACGGGUGAGUAAUACAUCGGAACGUGCCCGAUCGUGGGGGAUAACGAGGCGAAAGCUUUGCUAAUACCGCAUACGAUCUACGGAUGAAAGCAGGGGACCGCAAGGCCUUGCGCGGACGGAGCGGCCGAUGGCAGAUUAGGUAGUUGGUGGGAUAAAAGCUUACCAAGCCGACGAUCUGUAGCUGGUCUGAGAGGAUGAUCAGCCACACUGGGACUGAGACACGGCCCAGACUCCUACGGGAGGCAGCAGUGGGGAAUUUUGGACAAUGGGCGCAAGCCUGAUCCAGCCAUGCCGCGUGCAGGAUGAAGGCCUUCGGGUUGUAAACUGCUUUUGUACGGAACGAAAAGCCUUCUUUUAAUACAGGAGGGUCAUGACGGUACCGUGAGAAUAAGCACCGGCUAACUACGUG
rnacentral:rRNA from 1 species